AAAAUGUAAAACCUUGUAUAUCUUGGAAACAGUAGCCAAUUAGCCACUGUUAUUGUCAUAUUUGAAUUCAACAUGCCAAAAUCCAUAAUAAAAAGCACAUUUUAUUUCUGAAGAAGACAACUUCUAAAUAUUUGCAUACCAUUAAAAAAUGAGAGCUG